rnacentral:rRNA from 1 species
GUUUGUGAUGAUGCAAUCUACCCGCGGCUAGACGGAAAGACCCCAUGAACCUUUACUGUAGCUUUGCAUUGGACUUUGAACCGAUCUGUGUAGGAUAGGUGGGAGGCUAUGAAACCGGAACGCUAGUUUCGGUGGAGCCGUCCUUGAAAUACCACCCUGGUUUGUUUGAGGUUCUAACCUUGGCCCGUGAUCCGGGUCGGGGACAGUGCAUGGUAGGCAGUUUGACUGGGGCGGUCUCCUCCCAAAGCGUAACGGAGGAGUACGAAGGUACGCUAGGUACGGUCGGAAAUCGUGCUGAUAGUGCAAUGGCAUAAGCGUGCUUAACUGCGAGACCGACAAGUCGAGCAGGUGCGAAAGCAGGUCAUAGUGAUCCGGUGGUUCUGUAUGGAAGGGCCAUCGCUCAACGGAUAAAAGGUACUCUGGGGAUAACAGGCUGAUACCGCCCAAGAGUUCAUAUCGACGGCGGUGUUUGGCACCUCGAUGUCGGCUCAUCUCAUCCUGGGGCUGUAGCCGGUCCCAAGGGUAUGGCUGUUCGCCAUUUAAAGAGGUACGUGAGCUGGGUUUAAAACGUCGUGAGACAGUUUGGUCCCUAUCUGCCGUGGGCGUUGGAUAUUUGAAGGGGGCUGCUCCUAGUACGAGAGGACCGGAGUGGACGAACCUCUGGUGUACCGGUUGUCACGCCAGUGGCAUCGCCGGGUAGCUAUGUUCGGAAGAGAUAACCGCUGAAAGCAUCUAAGCGGGAAACUCGCCUUAAGAUGAGAUAUCCCUGGGGACUAGAUCCCCUUGAAGGGUCGUUCGAGACCAGGACGUUGAUAGGUCAGGUGUGUAAGCGCAGUAAUGCGUUCAGCUAACUGAUACUAAUUGCCCGUAAGGCUUGAUCCUAUAACA